UGAGGAAUAUUGCACAAUGGGCGCAAGCCUGAUGCAGCAACGCCGCGUGAGGGACGAAGGCCUUCGGGUCGUAAACCUCUUUUCUGGGGGACGAGUAAGGACGGUACCCCAGGAAUAAGUCUCGGCUAACUACGUGCCAGCAGCCGUGGUAAAACGUAGGAGGCGAGCGUUAUCCGGAUUUACUGGGCGUAAAGCGUACGCAGGUGGUUUCGUUAGUCGGACAUGAAAGCUCCUGGCUUAACUGGGAGAGGUUGUUCGAUACUGCGGGGCUUGAGGUUGGGAGAGGGACGUGGAAUUCCCGGUGUAGUGGUGGAAUGCGUAGAUAUCGGGAGGAACACCAGUGGCGCAAGCGGCGUCCUGGCCCACACCUGACGCGGAGGUACGAAAGCGUGGGUAGCAAACA
rnacentral:rRNA from 1 species